AUGUGGAGACGUCGGCAUGAGCCCUGGGAGGAGUUAUCUUUUCUUCUUAACAGCUUAUCACCCUGGAAUUGGUUUAUCCGGAGAUAGGGUCUUAUGGCUGGAAGAGGCGAGUUAUAUUGCUUGCUCCGGUGCGCUUGUGACGGCCCG